rnacentral:tRNA from 1 species
GCGGGUAUGGUGGAAUUGGCAGACACGCUGGAUUUAGGUUCCAGUGGGCGACCGUGCAGGUUCAAAUCCUGUUACCCGCACCA